GAAAUGCGAUAAGUAGUGUGAAUUGCAGAAUUCAGUGAAUCAUCGAAUCUUUGAACGCACAUUGCGCCCUUUGGUAUUCCAAAGGGCAUGCCUGUUCGAGCGUCAUUUGUACCCUCAAGCUUUGCUUGGUGUUGGGCGUCUUGUCUCCAGUUCGCUGGAGACUCGCCUUAAAGUAAUUGGCAGCCGGCCUACUGGCUUCGGAGCGCAGCACAAGUCGCGCUCUCUUCCAGCCAAGGUCAGCAUCCACAAAGCCUUUUUUCAACUUUUGACCUCGGAUCAGGUAGGGAUACCCGCUGAACUUAAGC
rnacentral:misc_RNA from 1 species